rnacentral:rRNA from 1 species
GAUGAACGCUGACAGAAUGCUUAACACAUGCAAGUCAACUUGAAUUUGGGUUUUUAACUUAGGUUUGGGUGGCGGACGGGUGAGUAACGCGUAAAGAACUUGCCUCACAGCUAGUGACAACAUUUGGAAACGAAUGCUAAUACCUAAUAUUAUGAUAAUAGGGCAUCCUAUAAUUAUGAAAGCUAUAAGCGCUGUGAGAGAGCUUUGCGUCCCAUUAGCUAGUUGGAGAGGUAACGGCUCACCAAGGCGAUGAUGGGUAGCCGGCCUGAGAGGGUGAUCGGCCACAAGGGGACUGAGACACGGCCCUUACUCCUACGGGAGGCAGCAGUGGGGAAUAUUGGACAAUGGACCAAGAGUCUGAUCCAGCAAUUCUGUGUGCACGAUGAAGUUUUUCGGAAUGUAAAGUGCUUUCAGUUGGGAAGAAAGAAAUGACGGUACCAACAGAAGAAGUGACGGCUAAAUACGUG